UUCCGGUUGAUCCUGCCGGACCUUACUGCUAUCGGGAUAAGACUAAGCCAUGCGAGUUGAGCGCUCUCAAGCUACGUUGAGAGAGCAGCGAACGGCUCCGUAACACGUAGUUAACCUACCCUCAGGACAGGGAUACCCCCGGGAAACUGGGGACAAUACCUGAUAGGCGGAAAGACCUGGAACGGUCUUCCACUGAAAGGGUGUUGGAUACAUGCUUUCAACACUGCCUGAGGAUGGGACUGCGACCGAUCAGGUUGUUGGUGGGGUAACGGCCCACCAAGCCGAUAACCGGUACGGGCCCUGAGAGGGGGAGCCCGGAGAUGGGAACUGAGACAAGGUCCCAGGUCCUACGGGACGCAGCAGGCGCGAAACCUCCACAAUGCACGAAAGUGUGAUGGGGUUAUCCCGAGUGCUGUCCGAUGAGGAUGGCUUUUCCUCGGUGUAAAAAGCCGAGGGAAUAAAGGGGGGGCAAGACUGGUGUCAGCCGCCGCGGUAAUACCAGCUCCCUGAGUGGUAGGGAUGAUUAUUUGGCCUAAAGCGUCCGUAGCCGGCUUGGUCAGUCCUUCGUUAAAUCCAACGACUUAAUCGUUGGUCUGCGGAGGAUACUGCCAGGCUAGAGGACGGGAGAG
rnacentral:rRNA from 1 species